rnacentral:lncRNA from 1 species
AAGAAAAAAAAAAAAAAAAAAAAAAAAAACCAACCCAGAAGGCAAAAGCUUCCCUCUCCUCCCCCAUUUGGAAAGUUUUCUCAGCAGAGGCCUGAGCACAUUCCUGACUUCUGGCUCAGGGAAGGACUUUCCCAACCUUCCAACAUUCCGGGCCCUCACUCACCCUGCUGACCUACCAAGAGUUCUGCUUGCUCCACCCCAAACAGCUGCAUUCCAGCUGUGGAGUUCUUAUGAAACUGCCAGGAAUCCUAGGGCUGCAAGGACUCGGUGAUACAAAUUUGGACUUCAAGGUCUGAAAGCCUGAGGCAGAAAGCUGGGCUACAGAGGGAGACCCUGUCUCAGCAAAAUGGAGCUAAGCAGGGUUGGGCCUGGUCAGGACACAGGAUGAGAGACUCCAUUCUCCAAAGAGAGGAGCCUUCUGCAGUCUUCCAUCAGCUCCAGGGCCUGGAAGUAAGUAUGAGGGAGAGGAAGAAAGUAAGUAUGGAGACGAUCAGGCCAAAUAGCUAUAUAGUAAAGUGUGUCUCUUCUUAUUCCCUUCUGCUGCUGCUCCCACUUCCAAAUAUUCCCCUUUGUUCUCCUUUUGUCCCACUUACCCAUGAACUUCCUAUUCUGGUCCUUUCAGAAUACAGUCUACAGCAUUACCCAUGCAAGCUAUACUUUCCCCCAGCCCUGACAGUAUCCCUUGAGCCCUUGAGACCCUAGAAGGAAAGCACCAGGAAAUCGUAAAAUAGUCUCUCUCCAGAAAACAAUGGCUUCCGAGGUCUGUGGCAGACACACUCACAACCCCAGAAAUAGUCUCAUUGUCCUCUUGUGCAAUAUCCAGGAAUUUGGUGAAACUCAUCAUUUUUCAGGUUACCGAUAAUGCAAGUUUGGAAAGUGAAACAGGAAGAACACAGGCUGAGAAAGCUUUUAUCCAGC